rnacentral:rRNA from 1 species
AUUGAACGCUGGCGGCAUGCCUUACACAUGCAAGUCGAACGGUAACGCGGGGCAACCUGGCGACGAGUGGCGAACGGGUGAGUAAUACAUCGGAACGCGCCCAGUAGUGGGGGAUAGCCCGGCGAAAGCCGGAUUAAUACCGCAUACGACCUAUGGGUGAAAGCGGGGGAUCGCAAGACCUCGCGCUAUUGGAGCGGCCGAUGUCAGAUUAGCUAGUUGGUGGGGUAAAGGCCUACCAAGGCGACGAUCUGUAGCUGGUCUGAGAGGACGACCAGCCACACUGGGACUGAGACACGGCCCAGACUCCUACGGGAGGCAGCAGUGGGGAAUUUUGGACAAUGGGGGCAACCCUGAUCCAGCCAUGCCGCGUGCGGGAAGAAGGCCUUCGGGUUGUAAACCGCUUUUGUCGGGGAAGAAACGGUCUGCGCUAAUACCGCGGACUAAUGACGGUACCCGAAGAAUAAGCACCGGCUAACUACGUGCCAGCCGCCGCCGUAACAC